rnacentral:rRNA from 1 species
AAUUCGAUUGAGUUUGAUCAUGGCUCAGAACGAACGCUGGCGGCAGGCCUAACACAUGCAAGUCGAACGCCGUAGCAAUACGGAGUGGCAGACGGGUGAGUAACGCGUGGGAACAUACCCCUCGGUUCGGAACAACUCAGGGAAACUUGAGCUAAUACCGGAUACGUCCGAGGUUUUAAUCGACCUCGGAGAAAGAUUUAUCGCCGGAGGAUUGGCCCGCGUCUGAUUAGCUUGUUGGUGAGGUAAUGGCUCACCAAGGCGACGAUCAGUAGCUGGUCUGAGAGGAUGAUCAGCCACAUUGGGACUGAGACACGGCCCAAACUCCUACGGGAGGCAGCAGUGGGGAAUAUUGGACAAUGGGCGAAAGCCUGAUCCAGCCAUGCCGCGUGAGUGAUGAAGGCCUUAGGGUUGUAAAGCUCUUUUACCCGGGAAGAUAAUGACGGUACCGGGAGAAUAAGCCCCGGCUAACUUCGUGCCAGCAGCCGCGGUAAUACGAAGGGGGCUAGCGUUGUUCGGAAUUACUGGGCGUAAAGCGCACGUAGGCGGAUCUUUAAGUCAGGGGUGAAAUCCCGAGGCUCAACCUCGGAACUGCCUUUGAUACUGGGGAUAUAGAGUCCGGGAGAGGUGAGUGGAACUGCGAGUGUAGAGGUGAAAUUCGUAGAUAUUCGCAAGAACACCAGUGGCGAAGGCGGCUCACUG